AUUUGCUGAUGGUUAAAUGAUUGAAGAUCAUUGUGAAUGAAUGAAUAUAAUUUAAAAUCAUGUAAGUUUUUUGAUAUGAUAACGUUUAGUGUGAUUAGGUGAACUGUGAAUAUUAGGAGCAAGCAAGGAGGUUGUUGUAAAAAUUGGGAUCUCUUCUCAAUUAGUUGUAAGUAAUAUAAUGAAGCAACUAGUUUGAAGCCUGUGACGUCUUUAAAUGUGAAAGGUUAUCUUCUAAGAUAUGAAACCUGUUAAACGUCAUAUCUUCUCAAUUUUAUUUUUCUCUUUCUGUUGUGAUUAGCUUUGGCUGUGGCAUCUCCUUUUUCCAUAUAUGAAGACUUCUUUGGGGGUAAAAAGAAAAAAAGUUCGACAAAGCUAAGUCCUUCGAUGGAUCUGAAGAACUGAGCAUAGCCGAGAAACAGGAAGAUGAUAAAGGAACUCUUUCAACCCAUGAGAAAGAGCUUCAAAAGAUCCGCUCUAAAAUUGAGCAGAUGGAGAAAGAGAACUUGGAAACUAAGGCCUGGACUAUGUAGGGAGAGGUAACCGCCAGUAAAAGGCCAAAGAACAGUGCACUUAAGGUUGAUCUGGAUUUUGAGCACAAUGUAAGACCACCUCCUGUGAUCACAGAAGAGGUUACAGCAUCCCUUGAAGAAUUAAUUACAAAAAGGAUUAUUGAGGGGCAUUUUGGUGAUGUUCAGAGGGCACCUAGUUUGCCGUCUAAAGCACCAAAAGAACUCAAA